rnacentral:lncRNA from 1 species
UACCCUAGUUAAAGAUUUCUUUUCUUAAUAUAUUAUAUCUUUUUAUUUUCAUAUCUAAAGCAUUGCAAUGAAAAUUUAAGUGAAAAUAUUCAUUAAUUUUGAGAUAAAAUAAUUUUAAAAAAUAAAACUAAAAUUGGAAUAUGAGGAAAAAUAUAAUAAAAAAUUAAAAUUAAUAUGAUAAAUCUAACUUGAAUAAUCCAAAGAAAACAAAAAAAAUAUAAUACUAAUAAAAAUAAAACAAAAUAUCGGGUUAGAGAAAAUAAUACAAUGGUUACAAAGUUGAUAAUAUAUUACGCCGUUUAUAACUAUAAAAAUUAUUAGUUUUCACUUACCAAGCUUAUGAUAUAAC